rnacentral:rRNA from 1 species
GAUGAACGCUGGCGGCGUGCCUAAUACAUGCAAGUCGAGCGAACAGACGAGGAGCUUGCUCCUCUGACGUUAGCGGCGGACGGGUGAGUAACACGUGGAUAACCUACCUAUAAGACUGGGAUAACUUCGGGACACCGGAGCUAACACCGGAUAAUAUAUUGAACCGCAUGGUUCAAUAGUGAAAGACGGUUUUGCUGUCACUUAUAGAUGGAUCCGCGCCGCAUUAGCUAGUUGGUAAGGUAACGGCUUACAAAGGCAACGAUGCGUAGCCGACCUGAGGGGGUGGUCGGCCACACUGGAACUGAGACACGGUCCAGACUCCUACGGGAGGCAGCAGUAGGGACUCUUCCGCAAUGGGCGAGAGCUUGACGGAGCAACGCCGCGUGAGUGAUGAAGGUCUUCGGAUCGUAAAACUCUGUUAUUAGGGAAGAACAAAUGUGUAAGUAACUGUGCACGUCUUGACGGUACCUAAUCAGAAAGCCACGGCUAACUACGUG